UGGGGAAUAUUGCACAAUGGGCGCAAGCCUGAUGCAGCCAUGCCGCGUGUAUGAAGAAGGCCUUCGGGUUGUAAAGUACUUUCAGCGAGGAGGAAGGCGGUAAGGUUAAUAACCUUAUCGAUUGACGUUACUCGCAGAAGAAGCACCGGCUAACUCCGUGCCAGCAGCCGCGGUAAUACGGAGGGUGCAAGCGUUAAUCGGAAUUACUGGGCGUAAAGCGCACGCAGGCGGUCUGUCAAGUCGGAUGUGAAAUCCCCGGGCUCAACCUGGGAACUGCAUUCGAAACUGGCAGGCUAGAGUCUUGUAGAGGGGGGUAGAAUUCCAGGUGUAGCGGUGAAAUGCGUAGAGAUCUGGAGGAAUACCGGUGGCGAAGGCGGCCCCCUGGGCAAAGACUGACGCUCAGGUGCGAAAGCGUGGGGAGCAAACA
rnacentral:rRNA from 1 species